UCCGGUUGAUCCUGCCGGACCCCACUGCUAUCGGGAUAGGACUAAGACAUGCUAGUCGAGCGCCUCCCAGCCACGACGGAGGCGCGGCGCACAGCUCAGUAACACGUGGCUAACCUGCCCUUGGGACAGAGACACCCCCGGGAAACUGGGGCUAAUCCCUGAUAGGUGAAGAACUCUGGAAUGAGUCUUCACCCAAAAGACGCCUAGGCCACGCUUCUAGGCGCCGCCCAAGGAUGGGGCCGCGACCGAUCAGGUUGUUGGUGAGGUAACGGCCUACCAAGCCUUUUACCGGUACGGGCCGUGAGAGCGGGAGCCCGGAGAUGGGCACUGAGACAAGGGCCCAGGUCCUACGGGGCGCAGCAGUCGCGCAGACUUUGCAAUACACGAAAGUGUGACAGGGCUAUCCCGAGUGCCGUCCGCUGAGGGUGGCUUUUACCCAGUCUAGAAAGCUGGGAGAACAAGGAGAGGGCAAGUCUGGUGUCAGCCGCCGCGGUAAUACCAGCUCUCCGAGUGGUGUGGAUGUUUAUUGGGCCUAAAGCAUCCGUAGCUUGCUGAUCAAGUCCCCUGUUAAACCCAACGAAUCAAUCGUUGGAUUGCGGGGGAUACUGCUCGGCUAGGGGA
rnacentral:rRNA from 1 species